rnacentral:ribozyme from 12 species
GAUGAUUGAAUGACAAGUUCAAGGAGCAUUAAGCAUGGAAUGGUAUGUCGCAUAGAUAGACCUAGCACUAUUGUUUAUUGCUUAUGGCCACAUCACUCAUGCCCUUUUCAAUAUUGUCCUUUUUUUUCUUUUUCCUAUCUUUCUCUC